UACGUAGGGUGCGAGCGUUGUCCGGAAUUAUUGGGCGUAAAGAGCUCGUAGGCGGUCUGUCGCGUCGAUCGUGAAAACCUGCGGCUUAACCGUGGGCGUGCGGUCGAUACGGGCAUGACUGGAGUUCGGCAGGGGAGACUGGAAUUCCUGGUGUAGCGGGGAAAUGCGCAGAUAUCAGGAGGAACACCGGUGGCGAAGGCGGGUCGCUGGGCCGAAACUGACGCUGAGGAGCGAAAGCGUGGGGAGCGAGCAGG
rnacentral:rRNA from 1 species